GAAGAUCAUAGGUCUGGUUUCGCACUUGAUAAAUGCUUACUGUUUCCUUCAGUUCUUUGAUGGUAUUGUGUGUGUGUGCACAGGCAUCUUCUUGGGAACAGGCAAACAGAAGAUUCCUGCUGUGGCCAACUUCCUUGGAUACUACGGCAUAGCACUUCCAAUCGGCGUUACUUUGACCUUUGUUGCAAAAAUGGGAAUAAUUGGUUUUUGGCUGGG